ensembl:lncRNA
CGCAGCGUUUCUUCCGCCCGGAGACUGGCUUCUGGCGUCGGAGGUCAGACCCGCGGAGAAGGACUUCCGCCGGGUUCCGGGGCUGGGAGUCCGCUGUUCUGGCUCCAGAACCUGUUUCGGUUGCUUGGGAAACCUCACCUUAGCACACAGCGAUAAUGCCCAGAUAUUCCGGUGUCGCCAGAUAAGGGAAGCUAUCAUUUCCCCAGCACAUUCCGAGGAGGACACAGAGCGGUAGCCUGGAACCCAGGCUUCCCUGGUAUCUCUGUAGAAAGUAUUCAUAGAACUCUUCAGAAUGCUACUCCCCCUGAAACAAGAGGUCGUUUGGGAAAACAUCUAAAUGCCACGCAAACUAUGAAAACAAUACUACGGCUGAAUAUGUCGAAAUGUGCAGAGACGUUGAGAAUUUGUUAGGAGACGUUGAUUACAAAACAGAAUAGAUCGUCCACUUUAAAGGCAGCCUCGGAUCUCAAAAGGUUGCUGGGGCAUGUAGACUGUGGAAGGGUAGCUGAAAGAGGAACUCUAUCUAUGCAGCCAUGGAGAAGUCACGCCAUCAUCCAUGCUGCCGUGAAACUUUUUGGUGGUGGAGAUGCCGUGGGGUCUCCCACAGUCCUGUGAGCAACCCAUGCUCUGAGGGUGAGCUGUACAAACUUAGAGGGGUAAGCAGUUUAUAACAUCAUAACAGCUGCAUGUGAACUACUACCAUAUUGUUUGCUAACAUGUCACCAUGUAUUCAUGAACAAAAGUCUUCAGCUUGGUUCUGUUUAUCAUAGCCUCCUCUUAGAAUUUCUCUGGAUCAACACUUUAUUUCCAAAUCCAGUUCUCAAUUAAAUAAAGUUCCUAUCCAACAAGUUGAA